CCCUCAGCCGUCCCUCCGGGCCCGGGGCGGGCGGUGGGCAGGGCCCCGCCGCUCCCUCAGCCUCCGCCCAGCCCGGCCAGACCCUGCGCGUUCAGCGAGCCCGGGGGACGCGCUGCAUCAUCCUUGAGCAUCAAUGAAUGACCAAGCAUGGCUUUCUUCAAGCAACAGAAGGUGGAGGAUGUUUAUGAAAUUGGUGAAGAACUGGGAAGUGGCCAGUUUGCUAUAGUGAAGAAGUGCCGAGAGAAAAGCACAGGGGUGGAAUACGCUGCCAAGUUCAUCAAGAAGCGCCAGAGCCGGGCCAGCCGGCGCGGGGUGAGCCGCGAGGAGAUCGAGCGCGAGGUCACCAUUCUGCAGCAGAUCCUGCACACCAACAUCGUCAAGCUGCACGACAUCUACGAGAACAAGACAGACGUGGUCCUCAUCCUGGAGCUGGUUUCUGGAGGAGAACUUUUUGACUUCCUGGCACAGAAGGAGUCUUUGAGUGAAGAGGAAGCAACCAGGUUCAUUAAGCAGAUUUUGGAUGGUGUGAAUUACCUUCACUCUAAGAAAAUUGCUCACUUUGAUCUAAAGCCUGAAAACAUUAUGCUUCUAGACAAGAAUAUCCCUAUUCCGCACAUCAAACUCAUUGACUUUGGCCUGGCUCACAAAAUAGAAGAUGGAGUUGAUUUUAAAAACAUAUUUGGAACUCCAGAAUUCGUAGCUCCAGAAAUUGUAAACUAUGAACCACUUGGACUAGCUGCAGACAUGUGGAGCAUAGGAGUCAUCACCUACAUACUGCUUAGUGGUGCAUCACCUUUCCUUGGAGAAACUAAACAAGAAACACUUGCCAACAUCACAGCAGUAAAUUAUGAUUUUGAUGAAGAAUUUUUCAGCAAUACUAGUGACCUGGCAAAAGACUUUAUUCGGAAACUACUGGUGAAAGAUACACGGAAGCGGCUUACUAUUCAGGAAGCUCUGUCUCAUCCUUGGAUAACGCCCAUGGACAAGCAACAGGCUUUGGUUCGGAAAUCAUCUGUUGUUAACAUGGAAAAUUUCAAAAGGCAAUACGCUAGAAGGCGAUGGAAGCUUUCAUACCGUAUUGUUUCACUGUGCAACCACUUAUCGCGCUCGCUGGUGGAGAAAGUCCAGACACAAGAUAAGAGUUUGAGAAACUGUGAAAGUGACAGUGAGGAUCUUUCACAAAGAAAAGCCCAUCUUCAGAGGAGAAGCAGCAUCUCAUAAUGGGAUGAGGAUUCCAUGGGCAGGAGACAAGAAUCUUUCAUCCUUGCUGAAGCAAGCAGCCCUGGCAGCAGACUUCUUGUCUGAGUCCUUGGUAUGAUGCUUCUUGUUUCUCAAACUACACCAACAACUGGAUGAUGGUCUUAAAUACCUACUGAGCAUUUUAGAAAAUUGGGAAUCAAGAUUCCCUGGGAAAUGCUACAGCACAAACACCAGUUGGAGUGUUUUUAUAUGUUAAGUGGUUCAGUGAUAAUUCAGUCUAUUUCUGAUGUCGAAUGCACUCAGGGUGUAGGGUUUCUACUGAUAAUCUUUUACUCUAGAAUAAUUCCCUUUCCACACAGUGUUUAAGACUGUGUUAUUAUUUCAGUCAGGGAAAUUGCUAGUGAGUCUUAAGGAUUUUUUAAUGCAAUUUUUAUAUUUGUUAAUAGCAUAAAUAUUUGAUGACAGGUAUCUGGCAGGUUUUGUUAGCUAUGUGCAGUACUCUGUUAUUGCUGUCACUGAAGAGAAAAUCACAAUGCCAUUACAUAGCAUAACCUUGAUUUUGUGAACCUGGCAGUAAAUAGUUCUGAAAUGCAACAAGAACUGUGCUCUGGCCCUUGUCUCUGGGUGAGGAUUACCACAACUCCCAUUGUCAGUGUGAGUACGACUGACUGUGGCACUGAGGUAGGCCAAAGCAAUUUUUGGAUGACAAAGAGAAAAAAAAUCUGUAGUGAUUUACAUGCACCCAAAUCCAACAUUUUCCCAAAGGAUGACAGGAUGCCUCAAAAAGGCAAUUAGAAACCUAAGGCAUGCGAAAAAAUAGUCUUAGACUUUGUUAUUGUUGUCAAUAUUGUUUAUUGUCAGCAAAUUGGAGACUUGUUAACACCUAUUUGUAUAGGUGCUGUUUACAUGUAACCCAGACUGCAGACAUCUGGUUUUUAUUCAGGGAAUUGUAUCCAAAAUUGAGGAAAUAAGCACUUUGAUAUUGAUGUAACACCUUUGCACAGGGAAGUUGCAUCAUUUUAACUAUAUUACUUUCUAAACCAGUAUUGUUCAAUUGGUAGCAGAAAAUGUGCAUAGACUAGGGUAUUUUUUCAUUGAAUGUAUUUGCUAGAAGUUCCUAUUUAUUUUGCCAUUUAAUGAAUUAAAAAUCAGAAGGCAAGUCUAUUAGAAACAACUAUAGACAGAUGAGGAAACUGAUUUUGUUUGGCUUUACACUUGUCAUCUCUAGGCUGAGGUUUUAGAGUUGAAAACUAGUAUCAGCUUAAUUUUGAUGGCUUCCAGUUUCUAAGAAAGAAAUAGAAAUAUGCUACUUUUAUUUGUAACUGUAUCCUUGCUUAGAGACUAAAAUGCAGUUGAUAAGAAAUUACUUCUGUGUAAGGAAGAAAAUGUAUGAGAAGCUUUGGAGGAGAGAGGCAGAACAUAGGAUUUGAAACAGAAAAUGAAGGAGAGGGUGGGACAAAAAAAGCAGUGGAGAGGAAUGAGUAUGAGAGGGAUGUUAAGGUGAUCCUGGACUGGGAAAGUUGGAGGAAAUGAAAGAGAAUGUGAAUAUAUGAAUUGUGGAAGCUGGAGAGUGAAUGUUUCUGCAAAUAAUUGCACUGCACUUUUAUACUACUUAUUUCUUUUUAUUUUGUAUCUUGUGCUGCCAUAGCCUGUGAUGUGUGCUGGUCAAGGGAUAAGGUGCAAGGCAUGGGCUUUUCUUCAUAUUGAAUUAAAAGGUGUAUUUCUGAACUUUCUUUGUAAUUCUUGAGACAGAAUCCUCCAAAAGUGUUGCAGCAAUGUAUGUAUUAAGAGGGCGCAGUAACAAGGAAACCUGAGGUUUCAGUGCAUCAUAAUUUCAGCUGGAAUAGAGUUAAUUUUCUCCGUAGCUGGUAGUGCUGUGUUUUAGAUUCAGUAUGAGAAUGAUGUUGAUAAUAUGCUGAUGUUUUAGUUCUUGCUAAGUAGUGGUUAUCAUAAGUCAGGACUUUUCAUUUUCCCAUGCUCUGCUGGUGAGGAGGUACACAGAAAGCUAGAAGGGACCAUAGCCAGGGACAGCUGACCCAAAAUAUUCAAAGGGAUAUUCCAGCCCAUGGAAUGGCAUGCUCAGUAUGCAAACUGGGGUGAAUUGGCUGGGAGCCACAGGUCACUGCUCAGGGAUGGGCAUUGGUCUGUAUGUGGUGAGCAAUUAUGUUGUGCAUCCCUUGUCUUUCCUGCGUUUUAUUCCUCUCUUUUCCUUUCCAUUAUUGUUAAUUAUUAUGAUUAUAAUUAUAUUUUCCUUUAGUUCAAUUACAAUAUUGUUCAUAUCUCAAAGUAACCCUCAAAGCUGGCUUGCCAGUUCUCCUCCCCACCAGGGCCAGGGGAAGGUGAGUGAGGGGCUGUGUGGGGCCUAGUUGCCAACUGGGGUUAAACCAUGGCAGUGUCUGGAGGGAAUCUUUCAUAAACAGAACUCUAAAAAUAUAUAUUUGGAUAAAAAGCUGCCCACCUUACCUACCAAAUUUUGCUUCCUGCUUUCCCAAGCAUGUGGAAAAUCAAACAGGCUCCAAGCCAGUGGUAUUUUUCUGAAUUUCUGGACUUUAAAAACACGUUUGGUUUUCAAAUUUGAGGUUGUGAGAUGUAUAUGUAAGUUACACUCAUGAAAAUUAAGCCCUGGUUAAAAUAGGUGUUAGGUUGUUGGAUCAGGAUUGUGCUCUCAGGGAGAUGGGUCAUUUUAAUCUAAAAUCCUAGGAACUAUUGAGAAGGAUGGGACACAACAGAAAGGCAGAUAGAGGAGUGCAAGGCUGUGUGAAGCUCAGGCUUAUUAAUUCUACCUUUAAUAAAUUAAUUCUACCUUUAUAAAGAUGUAAGGUGGUGUUUUGACAAGACAUUACAGACAGCUCACUGCUCAGUCUUCAGCCUUUGUGCUAAGGCCGGGCCUUUCUCUCUGGCACUGUCACUCCACAUGGCUCCCAAGCAACUCGAUUGCACAGGAACCACAACAGCUUUCGUGUCCUGCCAAACUAUUCCCUGACUUUUCCAGCUAGGAGCCUGCUGUGAGUGUAGAAUCUCUUGUUCUCAGGACUAAUGUUGGUGGCGCAUUAGGAAGCUUUACAGUGCCUUCCCAGCUGUGGUGUUCCCUGUGUUCAUCACCCUGUCUGUUCAUGAGGGGAAGCUCAGCCCUCUCAGGGAGGUACAAUGCAAUUGUGCUGCUGCCAGCAUUGGCAGGACACCUGCUCUGUGCAGGGCUUGGUCUGGUAUUCACCAAAAAAAAAAAAAAAAAAAAAAAAAAAGACAUGGAAGGAAAUGGAACACUGAAUGAUUUUGUGUUACAGAAUCUGCUUUGCUGGGAGAAAAAAAAAUCUACUUUCUAUGUAUCAUUCUGUUUUGCAGUAGGGAACCUGGAGACAUAUGAAGUUAUAGUCUGAAGGGAGGAAAAAAACCACAAUAAACCCCACAAAAGCCCACAAGUAUUUUUACUUUAAUAAAGUAUAUAGCUAUUUGGUUAUUUUUAUUCUUAUUUUAAUGGUGAUGUUUUUUAAUCUACAUAUAUUUUUAUUAAGAGAAACACAGAUUUUUAAAUUUUUUUUUUGUGCCUGGAAAUAGUACAGACUGUCAAAAAUAGCAGAGAUAUUUGUUACUGUGAUUUGUCACUGUGAUUUGCUAAUAAAGUGUUAGAAAGCAGGACGGGUGUGCGUGUCUGUGUUUCCCCCGGGCCGGGAGCGGGGCCUGAGCCGAGGCCCCGCAGCCGUGGAGUCCCCGAGGCCGGGACGCGGCGGCGCCUCAGGGCAGCGGGAGGGAGCGGGCCCGGGCCGGCGGCACCGGGGCGGGUUCGUGCCGCCCCUGCCCCCGGUGCCGGCCCGCUGGGGGUGAGGGGGGCUCAUCGGGCGCAGGUGGCGACAGGGCCGCUCUGGGGCUGCGGAGGAGCCGCCGCGGGGGCACUGGCUCGCCCUGUGGCCCGAGAGAGCUUGCUGGGCCCGAUGGACCGUGCUUCCCCCUCAGCACCGAGGUGCCCACAGCGCAGCCCGGUGUCCCGCACCCUCGACAGCCAGUAAAAUGAAACAAAAGGGGAGAUAAAACCAUGAGCUCCUUCGCCAAAUGAGUUGGAAUCCAAAAAACAGGAUAGAAUCAAAAUGAGACUGCACUGACAAACCUAAUCCAAAGCUGAGAAGACACACAGCAUCCCACAGCAAGGAUGGACAACAGCAUCCCACAAAGAAAAAAGCUGGAGAGUUUAUCUACCAUUUAGAAGAAGGUCCUCAAGAGCUUCCACCUUCUACUCAAGUUCACAAACAUCAACAGACCCAGAGAACCCCUAGAAAAUGCAGAAAAGCCCAAACAGCUUUGCCUCCUGCACAGCCUGCAUGACCACAACCCAUGGCAUCAGGAAGCAUGAAAAAGAAAACACUGAACAACUCACCAGUAAUAUUUACAAUAACUCAGACUGAAUAACACUCAAAUUUGGUAAACAAAUUUUGACAGCAAUAAAGCUUAACAAAAUGAACUCAAUAAAACUCUGCCCUAAAAGGACUUCAAAUUAAUUACUCAAUUAUUACCUCAAUCAAUAGCUCAAUUAUUACCUCAGUAAAACAGAAGGUACCUUUAAGAAGACUCAGAGACAACCAUUAUACUGAAUACAACUGUGGUCUAUAUAAAACUGGAAUAAAACCUUAUCUAGACUUACUAAUAUUGAAACUUAGCAGACAUAAAAUCCACCAAAGCAACCCAUUAAAAUUUAGCCUUGCUCAGUUUAACAGAAGCAUUAUACCCUUGGACCUUAUGAAAAUACAACUGCAAAUUAGGACCUCCAAAAGUUAUAGAUGCAACAAGAUAUAGCUUAUUCUAUUGGUAUUGGUAUAACA